UUUGAAUUGUAAAAUGGCGAUCUUCGGUUUCUGGAAAACAGCCAAAAUGGCCAAUUUAAUCAUGUAUGAGUAUCUCCGGAACCAGAAUGAUGCAAAAAGCAAAGCAAAGCACUCAACUUCAGCAAAAGAGAAUAGAAAUUACAGGUUCCAUAUUUUUAAAACCAGUACUGGCAUCCUUAGAACUUGAGAAGCUAGUUUUUGAAGCCUUUCGAAAAUCUUGAUCAUUAAAAACAUUUGUUUUUCGUCGUUGUUUCAAUUUUCCUUAUUUGGGGUAACUUUGAUCAGUUUCAAUUUUGAAUAGUUUUGAAACCUUUUUGAACUAAAAAUGAUAGAUAUGCAUUGCGAGUCAUUUUUAUGCCAUAUGCACUGCGAGUCAUUUUUAUGCCAUAUGUAUUUUACCUUUCGAUGAUGAAAAACGUAAACGUUGGUCAUGAAAUAUGCCAUAAGUAUUUUGUGAGUCAGCAAUCGUUGUAAAAUGUUUGUGUUCAGAAAACGUAUGUUGAUCAUAUAUGCAAUGGCCUUUCCAACAACGGAAGUAUCAAUAGCCCAGCUCUAGCCUCUUACGUUCUAUGCUACGCCAGGAUGUUGUCUUGGCUAGAGCAUAAAACUGGACUUUCUUAACAAUUAUAAAUUUAUUAACUGUAGAAAUAUAACGGUCAAAUUAAUUUUAAAAUUUGGUCAUCAAAACAAUUAAAAAUUUCAACCAAUGCAAUAUUGUUCAGACCUCGAAUGACACAAGAUCACUGGCACCACACGAGAAGCUUCUAUAGAGCGAUUACCGGAAUCAGGAAUCGAGCCGUGACAAUUUCUGCCGUGUGAAACGACAGUCGCAGGUGGUCAGGCGUUUGAAACAACACUUCGAAGUGUUACUGAACGGUGAGCUAGAUGGGAAGGAUAGCUUACCGGCCGAACUUUUCAAAGUCGGUAGCGAUCAACUGUGUACUGCAAUUCACCAAAUUAGCCUGAGGGCAUAGUCUGAGUUAAAACUAUCUACGGAUUCUUAUGUCCUAUCUAUAUGAAGAGACACACACUCUACUGUAGCAACUAUCGAGACAUAACCCUGAAUUCCACAUACAAAAUUUUCUCCCGCGUUGUGUUACAUAGACUGACAUCUACAACAGACCAAAUGUUCACCUUGAGACAGUCACAUCAUCUGUUUAUAGCCUUCAAGGCGGCGUACGACUCAGUGAAACGCAACGAGUUGUAGCAGCGGGCGAAAUUUCGUACCCGUUUGUGAUGUGUGAUGGUCUGAAGCAAGGAGACGGUCCCUCGAACUUGCUGUUUAACAUAGCCUUGGAGAGUGCUAUACGAAGGGCGUUAAUCGUAUAACUAUGGAGGAGGCCUUUACAGUUCUCAUGGUGGAUGGGCGACCGUCUACGAUAAUAUUCAACAGAGACUCGGAUAGAGACCGGUUAUUUUUAGGUAGAUUCUGUACGCGGAUAGAGGUGACUGGAGAGCAGCACGUCGAGUUUUAUGGAGAACAUAUUCUGGAUUCGGUAUGGGAUCUAUAUGAUCUGUCGCCAUGAAAUUAAAAAAUAAACCUUUUUCAGUUUGUGUAAUGUUAUCUCUUCGGUGAAACAGCAUCAGUAUUCUCAAAAAAAAAAAAAAAUUAUUUGAGAGGAGCUCAGGCGAUCAGAAAAUAGCGAAAAAAAUCAACUGCGAUUUUAACCUACUACUGAACCUCCGAAUGGUCGUUAUUGGUAGAGUCUUCGUAAUUGAACCAUGGUGCAGUGGUAGAAGAAUGAUCAUGAAUUUUUAGUGGAAAAAUAUAUAAAUGCAGAAUUUAGUUUUGCAUAAUUCUUGACCUAUUGUUGGAUUAUUUUCAUCAUUCCAACUUUUUAAUCGGACAGUUUAAAUCUAUUUUAAUACUUGCGCUCAAAAUGUUAUAAGUGAAAUCAGUAAGUCAAAAUUCAUGAGACAUUCAUUUUUAAAUCAAUGCUAUAUGUGUUCAAUUUGAAGUGUGAAAAUCGGAAAAAAUAAACGUGAUAAUUUUCUAUCGUGUAUCCAAUGCUGAAAUGACAACCAGCAGAGAUUGUGGUGAGGUGAAAUUCUAGGUGGUGGGAGUCGGUAAACAAGUUCAAGUGACGCUACGGUACGAAUUCAAAACAAAUUUCGGUCCUUUUAAGAUCUAAUUGGGAGUGAAAAAAUAUAAUUUUGAAGCUAAAAUUUUGAUGAUUCGUGUGAGUGUGUUUUUGUACCAAUGGAAAUGGGAGAACCUGUUUUCGUAAAAAUGGAAAAAGAGUCCGGGAUGAUAAAAGCGGAUUUAUCCGGCGUAAUAUUGGGCCCUUCCGGAAACGCGCACCACGAGCCUAACUUCAGUUCGGCUUCCGGCGGCAGUCACAGUUAAAACGGAGUGCUGAAAAAAGAAAUUAAUUACAGUCUGUCGAAGCCGAAUUUCAAUUGUAGAUAAGAAUGAGAGAAAUAAACACAUUACUAUGAAAAA